rnacentral:rRNA from 1 species
GAUGAACGCUAGCUACAGGCUUAACACAUGCAAGUCGAGGGGCAGCAGGAACAAAGCUUGCUUUGUUUGCUGGCGACCGGCGCACGGGUGAGUAACGCGUAUCCGACCUGGCCUGCGCGCGGGGAUAGCCCUUGGAAAUGAGGAUUAACACCCGAUACGCCUUUUGCCCGCAUGGGCAUUUGGUGAAUCUUGCGCAGGAUGGGGAUGCGUUGGAUUAGCUUGCUGGUGAGGUAACGGCUCACCAGGGCUCCGAUCCAUAGGGGUUCUGAGAGGAAGGUCCCCCCACACUGGAACUGAGACACGGUCCAGACUCCUACGGGAGGCAGCAGUGAGGAAUAUUGGUCAAUGGUCUGACGACUGAACCAGCCAUGCCGCGUGAAGGUGACGGCCCUAUGGGUCUUAAACGUUCUUUUGUAAGGGAGCAAUAAGGUGUACGUGUACAUCGAUGAGAGUACCUUACGAAUAAGCAUCGGCUAACUCCGUGCCAG